AGCGAACGCUGGCGGCAGGCUUAACACAUGCAAGUCGAGCGCCGUAGCAAUACGGAGCGGCAGAUGGGAGAGUAAUACGUGGGAACGUGCCCUUCAGUUCGGAACAACCCAGGGAAACUUAGGCUAAUACCGGAUACGUCCGCAAGGAAUAAGAUUUACCGUUGAAGGAUCGGCCCGCGACUGAUUAGCUAGUUGGUGGGGUAAGGGCCCACCAAGGCGACGAUCAGUAGCUGGUAUUAGAGGAUGAUUAGCCUCAAUGGGACAGAGACACGGCCCAGACUCCUACGGGAGGCAGCAGUGGGGAAUAUUGGACAAAGGGGGCAACCCUGAUCCAGCCAUGCCGCGUGGGUGAUGAAGGCCCUAGGGUUGUAAAGCCCUUUCGGCGGGGAAGAUAAUGACGGUACCCGCAGAAGAAGCCCCGGCUAACUUCGUGCCAGCCGCCGCCGUAA
rnacentral:rRNA from 1 species